GACGAACGCUGGCGGCGUGCCUAAUACAUGCAAGUUGAGCGAUGAAGAUUGGUGCUUGCACCAAUUUGAAGAGCAGCGAACGGGUGAGUAACGCGUGGGGAAUCUGCCUUUGAGCGGGGGACAACAUUUGGAAACGAAUGCUAAUACCGCAUAACAACUUUAAACAUAAGUUUUAAGUUUGAAAGAUGCAAUUGCAUCACUCAAAGAUGAUCCCGCGUUGUAUUAGCUAGUUGGUGAGGGAAAGGCUCACCAAGGCGAUGAUACAUAGCCGACCUGAGAGGGUGAUCGGCCAAAAUGGGAAUGGGGCACGGCCCAAAAUCCUAAGGGGGGCAGCAGUAGGGAAUCUUCGGCAAUGGACGAAAGUCUGACCGAGCAACGCCGCGUGAGUGGAGAAGGUUGUCGGAUCGUAAAACUCUGUUGGUAGAGAAGAACGUUGGUGAGAGUGGAAAGCUCAUCAAGUGACGGUAACUACCCAGAAAGGGACGGCUAACUACGUG
rnacentral:rRNA from 1 species